rnacentral:rRNA from 1 species
UGGGGAAUAUUGCACAAUGGGCGCAAGCCUGAUGCAGCCAUGCCGCGUGUAUGAAGAAGGCCUUCGGGUUGUAAAGUACUUUCAGCGGGGAGGAAGGUGUUGAGGUUAAAACCUCAGCAAUUGACGUUACCCGCAGAAGAAGCACCGGCUAACUCCGUGCCAGCAGCCGCGGUAAUACGGAGGGUGCAAGCGUUAAUCGGAAUUACUGGGCGUAAAGCGCACGCAGGCGGUCUGUCAAGUCGGAUGUGAAAUCCCCGGGCUCAACCUGGGAACUGCAUUCGAAACUGGCAGGCUAGAGUCUUGUAGAGGGGGGUAGAAUUCCAGGUGUAGCGGUGAAAUGCGUAGAGAUCUGGAGGAAUACCGGUGGCGAAGGCGGCCCCCUGGACAAAGACUGACGCUCAGGUGCGAAAGCGUGGGGAGCAAACA